UACGAAGGGGGCUAGCGUUGCUCGGAAUCACUGGGCGUAAAGGGUGCGUCGGCGGGUCUUUAAGUCAGAGGUGAAAGCCUGGAGCUCAACUCCAGAACUGCCUUUGAUACUGAGGAUCUCGAGUUCGGGAGAGGUGAGUGGAACUGCGAGUGUAGAGGUGAAAUUCGUAGAUAUUCGCAAGAACACCAGUGGCGAAGGCGGCUCACUGGCCCGAUACUGACGCUGAGGCACGAAAGCGUGGGGAGCAAACAGG
rnacentral:rRNA from 1 species